rnacentral:pre_miRNA from 1 species
GGCGGUGGAGGAUGUGGGAGUGACAGAAGAGAGUGAGCACAGCUGAGCAUGUACAUGAGGAAGUACUUGCCCAUGUGUGCUCACUCUCUUCCUGUCGCACCUCUCCUUUGACGCU